GCUUUAUUGACUACACCAAAGCCUUUGACUGUGUGGAUCACAACAAACUUAAAUUCUUAAGAGAAAUUAUUAAAGAGAUAUUAAAGUGGAAAAUUCUUAAAGCAAUGGGAAUACCAAACCAUCUGACCUGCCUCCUGAGAUAUCUGUAUGCAGGUCAAGAAGAAACAGUUAGAACUGGACGUGGAACAACAGACUGGUUCUAAAUAGGCAAAGGAGUAUGUCAAGGCUGUAUAUUGUCUCCCUGCUUAUUUAACUUAUANNNNGAGUACAUCAUGAGAAAUGCUGGGCUGGAUGAAGCGCAAGCUGGAAUCAGAUCAUGCAAGACCAGUGGAAACUGAAUUCCAGCUCUCCUGUUGCCCCAUAAUUAGAGGAGAGUAGAAUGACAGACAUUAGCAACAUCUCAGACCAAAACGGAAGAUCAUGGCAACCUCCCUCACUUAGAGGUUUGUGGGGAAGGAAAGUAAGUUACCUAAAGCCUACUCCUUAAAAAAUGCCCAGUGGAUUCCAACUAACCCAGCAUCUGCAGAGCAGUUUGGAAAGCUCUGCAGAGAAGAUUAGAAAAACAAAAUAUGAAAUAGAUUUGUAUUACAAUUCAAAUACCCAUUUGCUGAAGCACCAGAAAGAUCUCAUGAUAAAAAUGGGUUUCACUCUUGCAACAACCAUGAAAAUAUAUCCCGAGUAAAGUGAUGUGAUGUUGUGAUGUGUGUAUUCAAGUGAUCCUCUUGAUUGGUAAGUGGUUGAAAGCAUGCACUCUAUAGAAGCUAUAACUUCUUAAUAUAAAACUUUAAAAUUCAAGUUGUUUUUAAAAUGAAAGAAUAGUUUUCUGAUUAGAAAUGAGUACAGAUGGUAUAGGUCAUGGGGAAAGACUGAUUUGCAAAUACUUGGCUUCCGGUGGCAUGUGUAGGAAUCAAUUUCUACCCUGCAUUUGGUCCUCUGUUCAGACAGCUGCUGCCAUCUGACUCCAACCCCUUGCUCCAGGCACUUCGUUGUCAUUUCCCCACAACUGACAAAGCUCAGUGUUUAGUUGUUCUUUCCCCAAGACUGACAAAGCUCAGUGUUUAGUUGUUCUUUCCCCAAGACUGACAAAACUGUGUUUAGUUGUCAUUUUCCCAAGUUUGACAAAGCUCGGUGAGGAACAACCAAUGGGAUCAUUAGAUGACUCCGUGCCUAUCAUA
rnacentral:lncRNA from 1 species